rnacentral:rRNA from 1 species
UACGUAGGUGACCAGCGUUGUCCGGAUUUACUGGGCGUAAAGAGCGCGCAGGCGGUCGUUCAAGUCGAGUGUGAAAGCCCCCGGCUCAACUGGGGAGGGUCAUUCGAUACUGAUCGACUUGAAGGCAGGAGAGGGAAGCGGAAUUCCCGGUGUAGUGGUGAAAGUGCGUAGAUAUCGGGAGGAACACCAGUGGCGAAGGACG